rnacentral:rRNA from 1 species
GAUGAACGCUGGCGGCGUGCCUAAUACAUGCAAGUCGAGCGAACGGACGAGAAGCUUGCUUUUCUGAUGUUAGCGGCGGACGGGUGAGUAACACGUGGCUAACCUACCUAUAAGACUGGGAUAACUUCGGGAAACCGGAGCUAAUACCGGAUAAUAUUUUGAACCGCAUGGUUCAUAAGUGAAAGACGGUCUUGCUGUCACUUAUAGAGGGAUCCGCGCUGCAUUAGCUAGUUGGUAAGGGAACGGCUUACCAAGGCAACGAUGCGUAACUGACCCGAGAGGAUGAUCAGUCACACUGGAACUUAGACACGGUCCAGACUCCUACGGGAGGCAGCAGUGGCGAAUAUUGGACAAUGGGCGAAAGCCUGAUCCAGCCAUGCUGCGUGUGUGAAGAAGGUCUUCGGAUUGUAGAGCACUUUAAGUUGGGAGGAAGGGCAGUAAGUUAAUACCUUGCUGUGUUGACGGUACCAACAGAAUAAGCACCGGCUAACUUCGUG